rnacentral:misc_RNA from 1 species
GUACAAAUGAGUAUGGAUUUGAAUUACAUAACGAUUUUUGAAAUGAUGAUAUGAGUAUGGAUGAAUUAUUGUAUGGAAAAUAUUGUUGAGAUUUUUAAGCAGGUGAAUAGUAAAAUACGCCAAAUAGUAAUAGAAACAGAGGAAACUCUGUUAGUUUCUUCAUAGAAAAAUAAUUGAUAUUAAAAUAUAACGAAAACAAAAUUUUUAAAGGAAUAAAGUAAGAUAAAAUAAGGUGCUCUAGCACCAAAUGUAGCACACCUUGCUCGGCUACAUUGUAGACGGGUGAGGGAUGUCACAAUCACCAUUAAUUUAAUGAUGGUUAUAAUUUUCUUCUAAAUCAGUAAUGAUUUUUAACGCACUAAAUAUGGUAUGAGCAUGCACUAAUACUUGCUGAACUGAUAUAAUACUCAACUCAAAUUUUGGUUAGUGCAUUCUCUUUGCUUUGGCUUUUAUAUGUUUAUAUAGAUUUCUUGGAUUUCUUGCUUCUUACUUUCAUUCUUCCAUAUUUAUAAUUCUUUCUUAUUCAGGAUUGUUAAUUCUGUUUCCCUCCCUUUUCCUUUCAUUUUCUCAGCGUUUGAAUUUUAAGCUUGUGAAGGUUCUAGAAUGCAAAACGAUUUCUGAUCAUGGCAUAUGGUAUCAUGUCAACUUCGAGGCCAAACCCAGAGAUUUUGAAUGCUCUCCAAAACUCUUUUUUGCUGAAUUGUAUGGAAAUGUGUUGCGCGUCACCUGUUUUUGUAUGCUGAAAUCUAAGGCUCUGAUAUGUUUGUGUGUUUUCUGUUUGCAUUUGAAAAGAUUGGCUAGUUACAAAAUUUAUUUUCUCUUUGUUUACUAAUGUCUUCUUCACCUGUUGUAUUCCCUAUAUUUGACUGCAAAUAUGUUUAAUUGCACAAUGACGCAUUGAUUGGUCCAUGGAAUACUGUCUCGAUACGAAAUUUCUAUAUUUUUCAGGUCCUUAAAUAUUUUUUUCCCAUCAGCUUGUUUAUAUGCAUGAUUCUUUCUCUUAUUUAGAAAGUCUGUCAGAGAUGGCUCUAUAUGUUCGCAAGUUGGUUUAUGUGUCACCUGUUGUUCUAUCCUGAAAUCUAUGGGCUCUGGUACGUGUUUUGUGUAGGCUUCUAUGUUCAUUUACAAGGAUGGGUAGGUUACAGAAUUUAUUUUCUCUUGUUUGGCUUGCUAUGACUAUUACUGGUUGGGGGUUUUAGGGGGUAGGGCUUGGCAGUGGCUUCCUGAGUUAUUAGCAGUUUUCUUGCAGCUGCGUUUAGAUGCUUCCACCUUUUUUGUUUUUCCAUUUUUCCUCGUCAAGUGAAGAAGUUUAAAUUUGACUUGAAUACAGUAUUAGCAAGUUCAUUAUUAUUGUUUUAUUAGCUAAUUAUUUUUUAUUGUUAUUUUUGGAUUUAUAUUAGAUGCUAGCCCCAUGAGGGGUUGUUUAUAUUGUGGUUCUCUCAUUCGUCAUCCUGCUAGUUGAUUUCGUGCUGGCAGUGAACGUGCCCUCAGGUUUGGCAAGUAUGGCGGAAUUCCUAUCAAUCGUGGACAAGUACUUCCUCAAAGUUAAUGGAAUGUGUGUGUGGUUGGUUUUUGCGUGUCUAGCUUUGUUAAAACUUUAGCAUGUAGUUCAUGUUUGGCAAUCAUCUUGGAAUCUACAAUGGACAAAAAGAGACUUUGUUAAAACUUCAGCAUGUAGUUAUGUUUGGCAAUCAUCUUGGAAUCUACAAUGGACAAAAAGAGACUUUGUUAAAACUUCAGCAUGUAGUUAUGUUUGGCAAUCAUCUUGGAAUCUACAUCGGACAAAAAGAGACUUUGUUUAAACUUUAGUAUGUAAUUUAUGUUUGGCAAUAAUCUUGGAAUCUACAUUGGAUAAAUCAUUUCGGAAUGUCCUAUCAAUCUAUUUAAUUAUGGAUUAUAAUAUGACAAUGCUAGA